GAGGGUGUAGCUCAGUGGUACAGCACAUGCUUAGCAUGCAUGAGGUCCUGGGUUCAAUCCCCAGUAUCUCCA
rnacentral:tRNA from 1 species